rnacentral:rRNA from 1 species
CUACGGGGUGCUGCAGUGGGGAAUAUUGGGCAAUGGGCGCAAGCCUGACCCAGCAACGCCGCGUGAGGGAAGAAUGUCUUCGGAUUGUAAACCUCUGUCCUUGGGGACGAAAAAAAUGACGGUACCCAAGGAGGAAGCUCCGGCUAACUACGUGCCAGCAGCCGCGGUAAUACGUAGGGAGCAAGCGUUGUCCGGAAUUAUUGGGCGUAAAGGGUGCGUAGGCGGCGCUGUAAGUCAGAUGUGAAAUCCCCGGGCUUAACUCGGGAGUUGCAUUUGAAACUACAGUGCUUGAGUAAAGAAGGGGUAAGUGGAAUUCCUAGUGUAGCGGUGGAAUGCGUAGAUAUUAGGAGGAACACCAGUGGCGAAGGCGACUUACUGGUCUUUUACUGACGCUGAGGCACGAAAGCGUGGGGAGCAAACAGGAUUAGAUACCCUGGUAGUC